rnacentral:rRNA from 1 species
AUUGAACGCUGGCGGCGUGCUUAACACAUGCAAGUCGAGCGGUAACAGGUGUAGCAAUACAUGCUGACGAGCGGCGAACGGGUGAGUAAUGCUUCGGAAUCUGCCCAGUAGUGGGGAAUAACGUAGGGAAACUUACGCUAAUACCGCAUACGAACUACGGUUGAAAGCAGGGGAUCGCAAGACCUUGCGCUAUUGGAUGAGCCGAAGUCGGAUUAGCUAGUUGGUGAGGUAAAGGCUCACCAAGGCGACGAUCCGUAGCUGGUCUGAGAGGACGACCAGCCACACUGGAACUGAGACACGGUCCAGACUCCUACGGGAGGCAGCAGUGGGGAAUAUUGGACAAUGGGGGAAACCCUGAUCCAGCGACGCCGCGUGUGUGAAGAAGGCCUGCGGGUUGUAAAGCACUUUUAGUGGGGACAAAAAGCCAAAGGCUAAUACCUUUUGGUCUUGAUUUAACCCAAAGAAAAAGCACCGGCUAACUCUGUGCCAGCCGCCGCAGUAA